GAAAACAUUAUGAAUAAAAACAUAAGGAAGAGAAAAUAUAUUUACUAUUCAUUAAGCGGAAGUAGAUCAUCAUAAAGUUCUUUAUCCUCAUAGUCUUCAGAUGGACUAGGCUGAGGAGGAGAAGGAAGAGGGAAGGUUGGUCUUGCUGUCUCAGGAGUGGGAAAGAUGGAAAAACAUCUGUGUAUAAAUGGACCCCCUAAUUCAAACUUGUGUUGUUCAACAGUCAGUUGCAUAUAUUUGAAGUAUAUGAGGGAUUCCCCAAAUUAAUGAGCAAUUGGAGAACCAGGUUAGAACCAUGGCAAUUCAAGAGUAGACAGGAGACAAGGAUCACAACAUUCUCCUUUUAGCAGGAACAAUCAAUCACCCAGUUAUUUUGGGUGCAAAAUAAUACCACAGUCCUGUAUGCUGCUGAUGCCACUGCUCCUGGACACUGGGGAAACUACUGUGAGUGAGUUCAAAUGUUCUCACAGCUAUAGAUUCAAAAGUCCAGAGCAGGCACAUCCAACUAGCCAAGUUUUGAUUUCGUGGCUGCCAGAGGGAUGGUAAAGUCCAGUCUUUCAACUUUUUACAGUGGAAGGUAAAGGCACAAUCUCUCACUUACUCUACAUGCAAUGAGAGUUUCUCUAACACUGGAAAGAGAAAUACAAAUGACAAAGAAAUGACAAGGUCUUUGUCAGAGAAACAGAGCCAACAGGGUAGAUAGAUGACAGAUGAUAGAUAGAUAGAUAGAUAGAUAGAUAGAUAGAUAGAUAGAUAGAUAGAGAUUUAUUAUGAGAAAUUGGCUCGCGUGACUAUGGAGGCUAGGAAAUAAAGCAACCUUCUGUCUGCAAGCUAGAGGCCCAGGAAAGCUGAUGGUUUCAUUCCCGUUCAAGCCUGAGGCCUAAAAACCAGGAGAGCCAAUGAUGUAAGUCCUAGUCCAAAGGCUUGAGAACCAGGAACACCAAUGUCCAAGGGUAGAAGAUGGAUGUCCCUGCCCAAGCAGAGAGAGCAAAUUCACCCUUCUUCUUCCUUUAUUCUGCUCAGGCUCUUGACAGAUUGGCUGAUGCCCACCUGCACUGACACAGAGUUUGUUGCCAGCUAUCUCCCCAACCAAGUCUCUUCAGGCCAAGAACAGAGAAGAGAGAGAAGGGAAGCCCUCAUAAGUGCUAAUUGAUUUCUCCAGUGAAUAUCGGAAUGAUGGUGGCCAUGGAAUGCACAGAAAGAGACCUGGACAGAGAGGAGUCAAAAGACAGUUACCGGGUUAUAUUCUAAUUGGAGGCAGCAUUAUUUUAUCCAAUACAAGAUAGAGAUACUAAUAGAUCCAGAGCGUGAGAUGCUGAUAGGGGUGUCAUCUUCUACAACAAUUCAUCUUGUCAGUGAAAGGAAGAAUUAAGCAACCUGAACCAUUAAGAUACACAGUUAGACUUCAGCAUUAUCCAGCACAUCUCGACUACACUGGUGGAAGGAAUGUGUGUUUCUUGUGUAGAAGAGAGAGCUGGUGUGUGCAUGCAUGCAUGUAUGUGUGUGUGUGCGUGCAUGCGUGUGUGUGUGUGUGAAAGAGAGAGAAAGACAGAGAGACAGAGAGGGAGAGAGAGAAAAAUAGAUGGGGCAGGGCAUAUGAUCUCAAGUCGGCCUCAGUCUUCACCCUUCCCUCUUGCCUCGGAUCCAAUGCAUUCCAUUUGUGGUUACCUUCUUAGUCUCAACAUGGACUUGAGUUCCUGGGCUUUUAUCUAACCAGAGCCACCUAGACUAAUAGUCUGGUGACUCUUCAAUCCAAUACCCUUCAAGCAUUUGUCCCACAUACCAUUAGUGUUUUAGUCCAUUCUCACACUGCUAAUAAAGACAUACCCAAGACUGGGUAAUUUAUAAAGGAAAGAGACUUAAUUGAUUCAUUGUUCAACAUGGCUCUGGAGGCCUCAGGAAACUUACAAUCAUGGCGGAAGGGGCAGCUAAUUCUUCAUAUGGCGGCAGCAAGAAGUGCUGAGCAAAAAGGGGAAAAGCCCUUUAUAAAACCAUCAGAUCUGUGAAAACUUACUCACUAUCAUGAGAACAGCAGCAUGGGGGACACUCGCGACAUUUGCAAUUCUCUAUUCACUGGACAUCUUCAGAUUAUAAGUUGCUUGGGGACUUCUACUGAAUCUAACUGUAUCAAUCAAGAAUGCUUUUGACAGCAAGUAACAAAAUACUUUUAACUGAGCCUUAAAAAAUGAAGACUUGCCAUAUCUCACCUUAUAAAAAGCCUGGAUGAAUAAGUCUAGAUUCAACACAGAAGGCCAAGGAUUG
rnacentral:lncRNA from 10 species